rnacentral:rRNA from 1 species
GACGAACGCUGGCGGCGUGCCUAAUACAUGCAAGUAGAACGCUGAAGGAGGAGCUUGCUUCUCUGGAUGAGUUGCGAACGGGUGAGUAACGCGUAGGUAACCUGCCUGGUAGCGGGGGAUAACUAUUGGAAACGAUAGCUAAUACCGCAUAAUAGCAGUUAUUGUAUGAUAACUGUUUGAAAGGUGCAAUUGCACCACUACCAGAUGGACCUGCGCUGUAUUAGCUAGUUGGUGGGGUAACGGCUCACCAAGGCGACGAUACAUAGCCGACCUGAGAGGGUGAUCGGCCACACUGGGAAUGAGACACGGCCCAGACUCCUACGGGAGGCAGCAGUAGGGAAUCUUCGGCAAUGGACGGAAGUCUGACCGAGCAACGCCGCGUGAGUGAAGAAGGUUGUCGGAUCGUAAAGCUCUGUUGUAAGAGAAGAACGAGUGUGAGAGUGGAAAGUUCACACUGUGACGGUAUCUUACCAGAAAGGGACGGCUAACUACGUG